AAAAAAAAAAAAAAAAGAUAAAAAAAACAAAAGAAAAAAAUAAAUAAAGGUAAGUGCAUAGCACUUCUCUUCUCUUCACCUAACAGGAAAAAAAUAUAAAAAAUAUAAAGGUGAGUGCAUAGCACUUCCCUUGUCUCCGGCAAAAGAUAGAAAAAAAUAAUAAAUAAAGAAUCAAGGUGAGUGCAUAGCACUUCCCUUGUCUCCUAACCAACCACGCAAAAAAAAAGUAAAUAAAUAAAAAUAAAUAAAUAAAUAAAAAUAAAUAAAAACCUCCUUACCACCUCGGACCUCGGGAGAGCAAGGGAGGUGAGUGCACAGCACUUCCCUUCUCUCCCCAAGUCUACGGACUGUCAGACUAAAAAAAAUAAAAUAUAUAUAGGUAUAAAAAAAGAUAAUAAUAAAAUAAGUAAAAAAAAAUAAGUAAAUAAAACAAAAACAAUAAAACUCCUAGUCGCACUUCAAUAAAACUGACUGAGUCUGGCAAUCAACAAUAAAUAAUAAAAAUAAAACAAUACCAACUGACUGACCCUGACAACCCCAAAGACCACCACCCCACCUGGGAAGCACGGGAGGUGAGUGUGCAGCACCUCCCUACCCUUCCCAGUCUCCCAGUUUGACUUUGACCACCAAUCUGACUCAUCCUACCAACUCCAAAGAGCAACUCCAACUGUACAGACCACCACCACCACCACCCUUCUGAUCUCGGCAAGGUGAGUGCGUAGCACUUCCCUGGACUGACCCUGACUGACUGACCCUGGCAACUCCAAAAACAACCAACCUGACUGACUUACAGAUAUGUAAUCACCUAACUGACUGGCCCUGGGGAGCAUGGGAGGUGAGUGUGCAGCACCUCCCUACACUUCCCAGUCUCCCAGUUUGACCUGACUCAUCCUGGCAACUUCAAAGAACAACUCCAAAUGUACAGACCAACAGUACCUCCUACUCUGUGUCCCACUCUGACCCUGAUCCAUACAUCCCUACAUCCUACCCUGUCCUGGCUAGGUGAGUGCGUAGCACUUCCCUACCACCUGCCUUACUGACCCUGGCAACCAUAAAAACAACCAACCUGACUGACCUACAAAUCUUACUGUAAUCUGGCAACAGACCACCAAACUGACGGACUCUGGGGAGCAUGGGAGGUGAGUGUGCAGCACCUCCCUACCCUUCCCAGUCUCCCAGUUUGACUUCCACCACCAAUGUGACUCAUCCUACCAACUCCAAAUGUACAGACCACCUCAAGGUGAGUGCGUAGCACUACCCUUGACUGACUGGGCCUGACUGACUGACCCCGGCAACUCCAAAAACAACCAACCUGACUGAUGUUACAAAUGUAACCUGGGGAGCAUGGGAGGUGAGUGUGCAGCACAUCCCUACCCUUCCCAGUCUUCCACCAACCUGACUUGAAUUAUGACUGGGGAGCAAGGGAGGUGAGUGUGCAGUACUCCUACUAUCCCCACUCUGAAUACCCUAUCACCAACCAAUUCAGACCACCAAACUGUCUUAGAAGAACAAGAACAGGAAGCAACGCCAUCAGAGGAAGAAGAAGCAGCAGCAGCAGCAUUACCGCCAUCAGAGGAAGAAAACAAGAAAAAGAAGCAAAGAAAAAGAAUUACCACCACUGUUAUCGGAGGAAGAAACAGCAGCGUCACCGCCAUCAGAGGAAGAAACAUAUAUAUGUAAACUACGACUGGUCAAACUUUCUGUGGCACCAGGCUAAGUUCGACCUGUGAUGGGCUGUGUUUAGAGAGGGAAAAAAAGUUCCAGGGGUUCAUGAAAGGAAAGUACACUAACAGGGGACUGACUGUGAAAGUGCCAGGCAAGGCUGCUGCUUCAGACAUCCACACUUCAACUUCAACUAUGCAUGCGAGAAUGUUGCUGUAUUCUUCCUCCUAUUCCUCCUUUUU